AAAAAGCCUCAUGCAAAUGAGGUGGAGCAUGCGUAAUGGGGGACGCAUGCUCACCAGAAAACGGCC
rnacentral:ncRNA from 1 species